rnacentral:rRNA from 1 species
GAUGAACGCUGGCGGCGUGCCUAAUACAUGCAAGUCGAGCGAACAGAUAAGGAGCUUGCUCCUUUGACGUUAGCGGCGGACGGGUGAGUAACACGUGGGUAACCUACCUAUAAGACUGGGAUAACUUCGGGAAACCGGAGCUAAUACCGGAUAACAUUUGGAACCGCAUGGUUCUAAAGUGAAAGAUGGUUUUGCUAUCACUUAUAGAUGGACCCGCGCCGUAUUAGCUAGUUGGUAAGGUAACGGCUUACCAAGGCAACGAUACGUAGCCGACCUGAGAGGGUGAUCGGCCACACUGGAACUGAGACACGGUCCAGACUCCUACGGGAGGCAGCAGUAGGGAAUCUUCCGCAAUGGGCGAAAGCCUGACGGAGCAACGCCGCGUGAGUGAUGAAGGGUUUCGGCUCGUAAAACUCUGUUAUUAGGGAAGAACAAACGUGUAAGUAACUGUGCACGUCUUGACGGUACCUAAUCAGGAAGCCACGGCUAACUACGUG